UACGGGGGGGGGCAAGCGUUGUUCGGAAUUACUGGGCGUAAAGGGCUCGUAGGCGGCCAACUAAGUCGGAUGUGAAAUCCCCAGGCUUAACCUGGGAACUGCGUCGGAUACUGGAUGGCUUGAAUCCGGGAGAGGGAUGCGGAAUUCCAGGUGUAGCGGUGAAAUGCGUAGAUAUCUGGAGGAACACCGGUGGCGAAGGCGGCAUCCUGGACCGGCAUUGACGCUAAAGCGCGAAAGCCAGGGGAGCAAACGGG
rnacentral:rRNA from 1 species